rnacentral:rRNA from 1 species
UACGUAGGGCGCAAGCGUUGUCCGGAAUUACUGGGCGUAAAGCGCGCGUAGGUGGUUUGUUAAGUUGAAUGUGAAAUCCCCGGGCUCAACCUGGGAACUGCAUCCAAAACUGGCAAGCUAGAGUAGGGCAGAGGGUGGUGGAAUUUCCUGUGUAGCGGUGAAAUGCGUAGAUAUAGGAAGGAACACCAGUGGCGAAGGCGACCACCUGGGCUCAUACUGACACUGAGGUGCGAAAGCGUGGGGAGCAAACAGG